AAACUUUCAACAACGGAUCUCUUGGUUCUGGCAUCGAUGAAGAACGCAGCGAAAUGCGAUAAGUAAUGUGAAUUGCAGAAUUCAGUGAAUCAUCGAAUCUUUGAACGCACAUUGCGCCCUCUGGUAUUCCGGAGGGCAUGCCUGUCCGAGCGUCAUUA
rnacentral:rRNA from 2 species